CCCUCUCUUACACGGUGAAGUGUAAACAAAGACCUGCAGGAAGUAAAGGGGCUACAAGGGAUCCAUGGAAAGAGCAUUCCCAGAAGGGGGGCCAGGGCAGUGCGCACAGUGAGGAGAGCAGGUGUGUGCGAGUUGAGGAAACUGGGCCCUGAGACAUUAACUUGCCCAAAAGAUCACAGUGGGCAACAUUCUAGAGCACAAUGGAAGCCGACAGCAAUGUCAGUGAAGACUGAAAACAGAACGUGGAGAGAGAUGUAGCUUACUAGAGCCCUGUGGCUUCAAUCCCCACCAGGAAUGUCGUUUAAGAGGAAGGUGAUCUAGCACAAAUUCACAUUUGCUUGAGGAAGAAUACAAACAGAAGCAGCCUCGGAGGGCGGACGGGGCUGGGGAAUCCCUGGCCUCCCUCCUUUCCUUCUGGCUGAUCUUCUGCAGGAGACCUCACAAAAGGGAGCUGAGGGGCCAGGAAGCCUGUGGAUGCCCUGAAGAAGAAUGAGUAGAUCUGAAAGGGCAGUAGAACAGAACCAGAAUCCAGUGCAAAGGCCCUGGGGCAGGAGUUCGCAUGAGAAGUGGGGAGAAGGAACCAGCCUAUGAUCCAGGAACGCAGUGAACAAGAUUUGGGAAGUUGACAGAGAAUAUGAGGCCUCCUCUCCAAACAGAAACUCCAGGACGCUUGGUUGAUUCACUGACACAUGCACAGUGCUGAGCAUAUUACCAGACACCAGAGUCUGUGUUCCAGAAAUGGAAGAAUAGCUUUGAUACAGGUUGGCUUUUCUCUUUUGGAACGAAGAAAUCAAGAGACUAAUUUUUUACCCAUCCAUCCAUCUAUCCAUCUAUCCAUCCAUCCAGCCACAUCUUUCCUAAGUGACAGGACAUAUCACACACCAACCGUGUGCAAAGCACUCUACCUAAAGAUCAGCGCUAACAGAGGAAUAAGCAGAGGCCUCCAGGAGCAAAGAGUGAAAAGUCUGGCAAGGCUUCAAGUACGGGGGAAGUGGGUGGAGCUUUCACCGUAGAAUCUUUCCUAGAGAAAAAGCAAAGAGUGGGGCAACAAUAAAGGCAUUAAAAAUAACUGUCAAGUUGAAGAAAAAGUAUUUUGCCAAAGACUGAGGAUUCGGAUAUGACUACGGAAAGGAAAACUAAGCUCCAUGAGAAGAGGGGACUUGCCCAUGUGGCUCAGGGCUCUAUGCCCAGUGCCCUAGACAGUGCCUGACUGUGUGUGCGGAAUGAAUGAAUAACCUUGGUGAUCCACCCAAUGGCACUGGCGCUCAGUGACCUCAUCUGAAAUGUAGAGACGGGGUUUCACCAUGUUGGCCAGGAUGGUCUCGAUCUCCAGACCUCGUGAUCCACCCAUCUCCACCUCCACCUCCCACCGUGUAGCUUUAAAUAUUCAACUCCGUUGACUCCUUGAGCGACCUGUUGCUUCCAGAAGUACAGUCAACAUAUCCAAAGCAGCUGCUGAGACAAAAUGACUCUGCAAACCUAAUCCAUGCUAGGCACCAUGGACUCGUUUUCAUCUUGCAAAAACCCUCAACAGCACCCCCAAUUUACGCACAAUUUGCAGUAAGAGAGGUUAAGUGACUCAAUGUGGACACACAGCAUUUAAAAGGAGGACUGGGACUUAGACAGCCCCAUCCAACAUAUCUGUUAGGAAAGUGAUUAAACUCUGCAUCAGAGGA